AACACAUGCAAGUCGAACGGAGUUACUCUCCAGCUUGCUGGAGAACUAACUUAGUGGCGCACGGGUGAGUAACACGUGGGUAACCCUACCCGAAAGACUGGGAUAACACCCCGAAAGGGGUGCUAAUACCGGAUACCUUUAUAAGUUUGCAUGAACUUAUAAAGAAAGUUUUUUUCGCUUUCGGAUGGGCCCGCGUCCCAUUAGCUAGUUGGUGAGGUAACGGCUCACCAAGGCGACGAUGGGUAGCCGGCCUGAGAGGGUGGACGGCCACACUGGGACUGAGACACGGCCCAGACUCCUACGGGAGGCAGCAGUAGGGAAUAUUGCGCAAUGGACGGAAGUCUGACGCAGCGACGCCGCGUGAGCGAUGAAGGUCUUCGGAUCGUAAAGCUUUGGCCUUGGGGAAGAGGCGAAAGCUUGACGGUACCCAGAAGAAGCCCGGCUAACUACGUGCCAGCAGCCGCGGUAUACGUAGGGGCGAGCGUGUCCGAAUACUGGCGUAAGGGUGCGUAGCGGCCUUUAGCUGGAGUA
rnacentral:rRNA from 1 species